GCACACACACACACACACACACACACACACACAAUCAAAAUGCAGACGACUUGGAAGUAGAAUUUGGAAGUACAAAAGUUCUGUGGGUUAAGACAGGUGGAAAGCAUGACCCUCUGACCUUUGCUCUCUCCCUUAAGCAAACACAGAGGGCGGAAUGAGUCCCUGGAACCUAAAGUAAAGCCAGUCGAACCACGGCAGCAGAGACUAUCAGGUCCACUUUUAGUGGUCAAAGUGCAGACGUAGGUGCCUCUUGAGCAAUCUGUCAUGUGGAAAUCCAUCUAGAAAAGUAGUGUUGAGGUUCAUCCAGCUCAGUCUGCAGAGAUUUCCCGGUACUAACCUUUAUUUACUAUAAAGAUCCUUUGCUUUUCAAUAAACAGCCUAAGAACUUCUGAUCGCUAGCUGGUUUUCGGAAUUAGCAAUAUGCUCAUGCUUAUUUGAGGCUCUUUUGGUCCUUCUGACCUAGUGCUAGUCUGACGACAAUGGUGACCACGGAGCACUGCUGAGCAAUGGUGACCACGGAGCACUGCUGAGCAAUGGUGACCACGGAGCCCUGUUGAGCAAUGGUGACCACGGAGCACUGCUGAGCACAUCGCCAGCCCUGAACCUGCUAUGACUUCAUAGGUGACCAAUUGCCCAGGUUUAAGGGGACUUGGGCUUAACAUGUCUCCAAAGGCUAAAACCAGAUAAAAAUCAUUUUACCUAUCAGGUUCAUGUGAUUCUCUCAGUUGGACUUUAAGUUCCUUUGAAGUAUACCCAUUGGUUAUCUAUAGAUCUAAAACUAUCACAUCCACUCUCCGGCCCCCAUGUCACUUCUCAGGCAAAUGUGAUCGAAGGGCAGUGUGCUACUGUUUGUUGUCCUGAUUAUAUUUAGUUCUUGUCUUAACACUCUAUUUUGAAAGGCUCAGACAGAAGAGCAAUUUCAGGAAGAGUUUAAUGAGUACCCUGUGUCCUUCACCCAUAGCCAGCGACCGCUACGUGUGCUGGAUCUCCCCAAAGGAGAGGCCCAGCACAGUUUUGCAACCCCUUGUGUAGGUGUGCAAACUUGGGGUCAGGGACCGUGUGGCCGGGUCAAAGGUGAGCUUAGCAAAUGUUUUCUAGAGCCCUCUGUUGCAAUCACCGCCAUCACCCACCUUCAGCAAUGAGCUGACAGACAGCUAGACCUCUGCUCAGCCAUCACAGGGGACGGCUCGCAGUGCUUUCAAGCUGACUUGACUUUACAGGGCCCAGGCUGGCUGGACCAGAAGGAUUUGGAUGAGUCUCCUGUCUCUACCUGCCAUCUCACAGUGGAAGUGCGGGGAUUACUGGGAUCAAACUCUGGCCAUCAGGUUUCUGUGUCAAGUACUUUACCUGCUGAGCUGUCUCAUUUGCUCAGACGAGACUAGGUGGCUCUGUCUUCCUGUGCUUGGCUUGCUGCACCUUGUAGCCCUUUGUACUCAGACUGGAAUCAGGCAAGGAGCCCAGAAGAUGACCUCUAACCUCUGGGGGCCUGUGACUGGCGGUCUGAGAAGAGCCAUGUUUAAAUCAGCACCCUUCACGGAGGCCAAGAAGAGCUCAGGUUUGACUCCCUCUUCCUGACGGAAUGAAUAUUCCUCGGCAUCCCCUUGCAAAAGCUUUGAAACUCACAGAAGUAUUUAAAGGUUAAAAAAAAGGAUAAUUUUAUUUUUCGAAGGAGGAAUAUAUCUCUGUUACAGUUAGCUACAGUACAAAGAACAAUAAAAUAGCACCUGGGAACUUGUAA